CAGAUCACUUACAACUAUUUAUUUACUUAGCAAACUCCCUGGCCAGAUCUAGUCACAUAACUCCACUCAACCAAAAGUUCUGGGUCCAGAGAAGGGAGACCCAGAAGUAUCUGGCAAACAUCAUUACUAACUCCCUAAGUACUUCUCCCAACUCUGUGUUAAGUGCCAGUCAUUUCACGUCCCUUAAGGAGGUCAUAGUGGGGAAACCAGGGGAAAGUAAACAAAACAGCUACAACCUGGAAAAUGCUAUGGUAGCCUAAACUCUCUCUCAGUGUACACUACAAGGAAUUAAGGUUUUAGUGUUCCAAGCCUAGGAGCUGAAGCCCAGAUUACCACUGGAAGUCUUCUGGCAACCAUGAGUGGAACCAGCAUCGGGACAACUGAGAAGUCAUGGAAGGAACCUGGAUCCCUAAGGCAAUGCCAUGCCACACCCCUGUGGACCUGGAGCCUGCUCUACCUCUCAACGGAUAGUUUGUGAGAUAAUAAACGUCUUCACCAUUUGAGCCAACUUGAGCCCGGCUUCUGUUACUUGCAGGCUGAAGCAUCCUAAGUGAUAUCCCAAAUAAUACACUCAUCUCCAUGUUGCUUGAUAAAUGACUGACAGUGGUUCCCAUGUCUCGAGGAAAAAGGACCUCACUGAUUUGCCUAUGAGAUUGGCCAAGAUAAAAAGAUUUACAACACACUGUGGGAAAGAGUAAGGAAGAGAGUGCUGCUGGGCACUGCUCAUAGGGAGUUCUGAGGUGAAUGAGCAUGUUUCAGGACUUACAGGCCAUCAAGUGGCGAUUAGCUGAGCAAAUCACAGUGCAUCCACGCAAUGAAAUACUAACCAAUCUUGAAAACAUAAACUAAAAGAACUGGACAUGGCAAGAUGGUCAAGAUACGCUUUUCAGAGAAAAAGGAUAUCUGUGAGUUUCCACACAAUAGCGACCUUCAUACCAUCGAGGGUGUUGGUGACGCCGCAUUUCUUAAAAGACCAUCAUCAUCUUUCUCUGAGAUUUUCUUCCAAGCUGCUGCCCCUCACUCUGUAAGUUUUGAUACCUUUUCUUGAUCCCAUCAGAAGGUAUCAAUGGAUGGUUUUCAAACAGCAAUCAGGAUCUGUGCUCCUUCUUCAAAUGGCCUUUAAAUGGUAUGGGGACAAAAGCAUCCAGGGGCUGUGGUUGCAGAGGUCCAGCCCUGCCACCAGGAAUAACGACCAUGUCCACUUGCACAGAAGCUGGCGCUGGAGAGGGCUGAGGAGGAUGGCACUCAACACCGCCGCCAGAACAAUCAACUGGCACAGGCACGUCCAAGGCACCGUGGCAACAGGUACAGAAAGCCAGAAAAGCAUGUGUACCCAAUGACAGAACAACCCCACUUCUGGGAUCUAUCCUAAGGAAACAAGAAUGGACACAAAGAUUUUUGUACAAGAAUACUGAACCUGGAAUUAUCGCAUCAGGUGAACAAAGCAGAAUACAAAAUUACAUAUACAGGAUGCUCCCAAUUUUGCUAGAAUGAACAUAUACAUAUACAUAAAGACUGUCCCAAAGUAGAUACCAAAAAUCUAAUACUACUUAUCUCCAUACCACGAUCCUGUGCAUCUUGUUUGCUGUCCAUUCCCAUUAGUCCUCUGUUCCCAAAACCCAGAGAACAUCCCUUCUACUUGUAUGUCCUAAUUUCAUGUUUGAAACCCAGAUGCAAAGAAUCAAAUAUCUCAGAUUUAGACAGACCUCAAAGAUUUUCUCAAUUUCAUUCAAUCCACUACUACUCUAAAAAUUUUCAUGACAUUCACAUACCACAUGUUCAAUUUAAUAUGUCUUGAAAUCAACUACCUUUUUUUAAUACUCAGAAGAAGAUAUCUGGUAGCAUAUCAGACCUAACGCAUUCUGUAA
ensembl:lncRNA